GAAGCUGUAUCUUUUGCAGUAUAAACCUUAAACAUGACCCUUUCUAGUACAGGAACAGCUACACCAUACCAGAAAUGGAAUGGAGACUUAAUCAGACGGAAACUUGAUCCCAAAGCCCGUCAAGUGAUAUUUCUUGGAUGUUCUGAAACGUCAAAAGGUUAUAGUCUUAAUACCAGAAACUCAAACAGUACAAAUGGCCCGUGACAUCAUAUUUGACGAGUACGAUGAGGAGGAUAAAAACGAACAGAUUGUAGUGCCGAGUGCUGAAUCCCCAACAACUAUACAAUUGCCAACUCAGCCACAGAAUCAUGAUGGAAUUGAACAAGCCGGUGUUGUUUCAACAUGUACUAACCGGCCCUAUCCCUUACGAAUUCGCACACCAAAACAGUGGAUCAGUAUGAAGGCUACUGGAAUUAUUGACUUUUU